GAAGUACUCCCUCCGUUCGGAAUUACUUGUCUCGGAAAUGGAUGUAUCUAGAACUAAAAUACAUCUAGAUACAUCCAUUUUCGCGACAAGUAAUUUCGAACGGAGGGAGUAGUUG
rnacentral:pre_miRNA from 1 species